rnacentral:rRNA from 1 species
CCUACGGGGUGCUGCAGUGAGGAAUAUUGGUCAAUGGACGAGAGUCUGAACCAGCCAAGUAGCGUGAAGGAUGACUGCCCUAUGGGUUGUAAACUUCUUUUAUAUGGGAAUAAAACGUUCCACGUGUGGGAUUUUGUAUGUACCAUAUGAAUAAGGAUCGGCUAACUCCGUGCCAGCAGCCGCGGUAAUACGGAGGAUCCGAGCGUUAUCCGGAUUUAUUGGGUUUAAAGGGAGCGUAGGUGGAUUGUUAAGUCAGUUGUGAAAGUUUGCGGCUCAACCGUAAAAUUGCAGUUGAAACUGGCAGUCUUGAGGACAGUAGAGGUGGGCGGAAUUCGUGGUGUAGCGGUGAAAUGCUUAGAUAUCACGAAGAACUCCGAUUGCGAAGGCAGUUCACUGGACUGCAACUGACACUGAGGCUCGAAAGUGUGGGUAUCAAACAGGAGUAGAUACCCCAGUAGUC